UAAGAAAUACUUGAAGCCAGGGAUGCCCA
rnacentral:piRNA from 1 species